GACGGAGGAUGCAAGUGUUAUCCGGAAUCACUGGGCGUAAAGCGUCUGUAGGUGGUUUAACAAGUCUGCUGUUAAAAAUUGAAGCUUAACUUCAAAGGUGCCGUAGAAACUUUUAAACUUGAGGAUGGUAGGGGUAGAGGGAAUUUCCAGUGGAGCGGUGAAAUGCGUAGAUCUUGGAAAGACCACCAAUGGCGAAGGCACUCUACUGGGCCAUGACUGACACUGAGAGACGAAAGCUAGGGGAGCAAAUGGG
rnacentral:rRNA from 1 species